GAAAGUAAACAUGAAAUAUAUUAAACGCCAACUGGCUCAAGGUUUAUUACAUCAGCAUCAAGCAACGGGAACGCGGCUAAAGGAACCUCUUCCACCCAAACCAUAUUGGCAUAAGUGUCCGCGUUCCGAGCCAAAAAAUCAGCAACGGCAUUACCCGUACGACGGACAAAACAAAGAGAAACAAACUCAAAAGCAGAAAUUAACAAACGACAAUCUCAAAUAAGAAUACUCAAAUAAGACCGAUCCUCCUCAAUCAUCCUCCAAGCGUUAAAGAGAUUCAAGCAAUCCGUCUCUAAGAUAAUCCGACGAAAUCCCAAAUCAAUUGCUAACUGCAUCGUCCAUCGCAUAGCCAUAGCUUCCGCCAAAAGAGGGGAGCUAAUAGGGACAGGAAAAGAGCAUGCUGCAGCCAUUGCCUCGCCCUCUGAGUUGCGAGCAACCAUGCCAAGGCCCGCGGUGCCACCCCCUCGGAAAGAAGCAUCAAAAUUGCACUUUAUGGUACCUGGUUGUGGCCUCCUCCACCGUGCUGGCCUGGAACCCGUCCGUGGACCACCGUCGCUCU
rnacentral:lncRNA from 1 species